rnacentral:rRNA from 1 species
AUGUGCACGCUCUCUACUCAAUCCAACCUUACACCUGUGCACCUAUUGUAGGUCGAGUGGCUGGACUUGUUCUGGUCGCUCUUCCUAUGUUUUACACAUACACUUGUAGUCUCAGAAUGUAAUCAGCGUAUAACGCAUUAUAAAACAACUUUCAACAACGGAUCUCUUGGCUCUCGCAUCGAUGAAGAACGCAGCGAAAUGCGAUAAGUAAUGUGAAUUGCAGAAUUCAGUGAAUCAUCGAAUCUUUGAACGCACCUUGCGCUCCUUGGUAUUCCGAGGAGCAUGCCUGUUUGAGUGUCAUGAAUAUCUCAACUCACCCGGUUUUUAUUAACUGUGGUGGGCUUGGACUUGGAGGUAUGCUGGCUGACUAGUCGGCUCCUCUCUAAAUGCAUUAGCUGGACCUGUUAUGGAUCAGUACUCGGUGUGAUAAUUGUCUACGCCGUGUCUGUGAAGUGCUUGAAUGGACUAGCUUCUAACCGUCUUCGGACAACUAUUGACAUUUUGACCUCAAAUCAGGUAGGAUUACCCGCUGAACUUAAGCAUAUCAAUAAGCGGAGGAAAAGAAACUAACAAGGAUUCCCCUAGUAACUGCGAGUGAAGCGGGAUGAGCUCAAAUUUAAAAUCUGGCGGUCUC